UGGGGACUCGUCUAAUGGUAGGACAGCAGAUUCUGGAUCUGUACGUGGGGGUUCGACUCCUCCGUCCCCAGCCA
rnacentral:tRNA from 3 species